rnacentral:misc_RNA from 1 species
GAUGAAAGAACGUAGCGAAAUGCGAUAAGUAAUGUGAAUUGCAGAAUUCAGUGAAUCAUCGAAUCUUUGAACGCACAUUGCGCCCGCCAGUAUUCUGGCGGGCAUGCCUGUUCGAGCGUCAUUACAACCCUCAGGCCCCCGGGCCUGGCGUUGGGGAUCGGCGGAAGCCCCCUGCGGGCACAACGCCGUCCCCCAAAUACAGUGGCGGUCCCGCCGCAGCUUCCAUUGCGUAGUAGCUAACACCUCGCAACUGGAGAGCGGCGCGGCCACGCCGUAAAACACCCAACUUCUGAAUGUUGACCUCGAAUCAGGUAGGAAUACCCGCUGAACUUAAGCAUAUCAAUAAGCGGAGGA